UCUACUGUGAAAGAAAUACAUACUUCUUAUUGAAGACUUAGAUUAAUUUGGAAAAGUAGAAAAGAAAAACAGUCCUAGUCCCCAAAGUGCUGGGGACCAAGCCCAGGGAUCAAGCAUGAUGGGCAAGCUCUCUACAACUGAGCUCCAUCCCCAGCCCUGACCAAGACAGAAUUUGGCUGCAGGUGUAUAAAGAGACACAAAAGGGGGAAAUGAUAAAGAAGAAUUUCCUAAUUAAUUCUGACACAGCAAGAAGUGGUGGUGGUCUAAAAACCAGGAAGAGAACCCUCACCAGGAACUGAAUGGGCCAGCACCUUGAUCUUGGACUCUUAGCCUCCAGAACAGUGACAGAUUCCUGUUGUUGAAGCCAUCUAGUCUGUGGCAUUUUGUUAGGGCAGCCGGGGAUGAUGAGGACAGCAUCUUUGGGUGUGAGGCCUAUGCCUUACUUUGCCAGCCCUCUAUCUGCUCUAUGUUUGCUUGGGCUCCACAGCCCCAUCUGAUUCACUUAAAAACACUAGUUCAAUAAUAAAAUAAUUAAGAAUUUCAAGAGAGUUACAGCAGAACAUGGAAACAAGUGUAAGGCCUCAUGAACGUCGGCCCUGGGACUUCACAGGCCACUUGCCCAUGAAGUCAGCCCUAACCCUGGACAGCUUAUGUGUUCCUGCUGUGAGCAUCUGAAGCUCAUUCCUCAUUUGUCCCCACUAAGAAGAGAUCUUGGCAUCUGACAGAUAUUCAA